rnacentral:rRNA from 1 species
GACAGAGGUGCCAAGCGUUAGGCGGAAUCACUGGGCUUAAAGCGUGUGUAGGCGGGCGAUCAAGUACCUUGUGAAAUCCCCCGGCUCAACCGGGGAACGGCUGGGUAUACUGGCGAUCUUGAGCCACCUAGGGGCAGUCGGAACAAGUGGUGGAGCGGUGAAAUGCGUAGAUAUCACUUGGAACGCCAAUGGUGAAAACAGACUGCUGGGGGUGUGCUGACGCUGAGACACGAAAGCCAGGGGAGCAAACGGG